CUGGAGUGCGAUGGCAUGAUCUCGGCUCACUGCAACCUCUGCCUCCCAGGUUCAAGCGUUUCUCCUGCCUCACCCUCCCAAGUAGCUGGGAUUGCAGGCAUGCACCACUGUGCCCAGGAAGCUGAGAGUGCUGAGGGCACAUCUGAAACCACUGGAGGUUGGCGACAUGGAGGUCAGCCACCCUGUGUGCACUCUAUCUAAGUGACAACGGUUUUGAAAUCCUGCCACCAGAUAUUGGGAAGCUCACAAAGUUGCAGAUACUCAGCAAUAGGGAUAAAGACCUGAUCUCACUGCUUAAGGAAAUUGGGGAGCUUACCCAGCUUAAAGAGCUCCACAUUCAGAGGAACCGCCUCACUGUUCUACGCCCAGAACUAGGCAAUGAUGGGACCUCUUCUCCUGCAUUUGUUACCCAGAUAAUUUUGCCUUUGGAGAAGAGAAGAAAAUCACAUUGGUCUGCUCGGAAUGCAACAAAACAAAGUGUUAUUGACACCAAAACCUUAUUUGCACCAAUCCAAACAGCCUAUGGGACAUAUGUCUGCAAUGCUGCACACACCUGGGGCUAGCCAGCUUAGUGCCCUACGAUAUGUGCCAAUAAUCGAUAGCAUUUUUUACUACAGUAAUUAUGAGAAGCAUAGUAUUUUCUAGCAUGCUUGUGAAGAGUGGAAACAAAUAUUAAUCCCCUUCAGAGAGUAAAGGACAUUAUGAAUUGAGAAUUUCCUCCCAAUUUAUUCUCCAGAAUGAACAGAAUUAACAGUGAG
rnacentral:lncRNA from 10 species